ACGGAGGAUGCGAGCGUUAUCCGGAUUCAUUGGGUUUAAAGGGUGCGCAGGCGGCGCGAUAAGUCAGGGGUGAAAUUUUGCCGCUUAACGGCAGGUGUGCCAUUGAUACUGUUAUGCUAGAGUACGGUAGAGGCAGGUGGAAUGUGCAGUGUAGCGGUGAAAUGCGCAGAUAUUGGGAAGAACACCGGUUGCGGAGGCAAUUUACUAGGCCACUACUGACGCUGAGGCACGAAAGCGUGGGAAGCAAAUGG
rnacentral:rRNA from 1 species